GCGGAGGUGUUUACAGCGUUCAGAGGAGGACAACGCCGGAAGAAAAAGGCCAGGGAUUGCUCCCACUCCUCCUUGAGGCCUCGUUUGGUAAGGCCCGGCCACCGCGAAGAGUUCGGCUCUGCAAGCAUAAGUCUACCAGCAGGGCUGAAGCGUUUGGCCCAAGGACCCAGGCAGUCUCAGGAGACACUGACCAAGAGACAACAUCCUGGUGACGGCAGGCACUCACUGGACGGUGAGGCGGCCUUCCCUCAUGCCCCAUGUGGAUUCUCACCCCCGGGCAUCUGAGAGCUAAGUCAAAGGCUGCAACCCACAGAGGGGAUGAGAGCGGGGUGCUGGGUCUGGGACUCAUGGCCAGGGAUUUUUGAGUCAGCUUUGGAGAUGGGGCAGUCCCAGCUGUGGCCCCUUAGGCCACGUCAAGGGAAUGUUGCAUUACUGGGAACGGUGAGAAGCAUGACACAGACUCUCUUGUGAGUUGAAUAGGAGAGUGAGGUUUUUUACCUCAGAUCUUCUUUUAUAGACUGACAUGCAAAAGUACAGAAAGGUAAAAUUCUUAUUGGUCAGUGAACUAACACAUUACUAUCAUUGGUUAGUGGGGUACACUACUGUUUGACUUUCUUUUGUAAGAAAACAAGAAACUGACAGCACCUGCAAGGCUGUCUUCUGUCUUUAAGGAUUGUUUUAAUUCUUCUUU